GCGCUUAUGAUUUGAAAUUUUCUCAGGUAUCAUUUCUUCUCUUAAAGGGGGGCGUCUGUACAAAGAUGUUACACUUGAUUAUUUACCCCCAUGUAUUUGGAACUUAUCAUCUCUUAUUCUACAUGUCACGCCAAAGGCUUUUGCUCACUGAUGGUAUAAUGGAAGAAAAUGUCUCCAUAUACAUGAAAACAAGGUAUCUGCAAGACGAUUGACUAGACUGGAAUUGCAGACGUUCAUUGAUAGAACACACGAAACUUGUCAUUG
rnacentral:misc_RNA from 1 species